UAUGUUGCCAUUGCUGACUUCGGAGAGUCUGAUUCAAUUAAGACAGUAUACACAUUUGAAAAACUUCCAAAGACUUGGAAAAGCCUGAAUAUUAAUGGACACAGAUACAAUCCUUACAACAUUCUACUUCUAAACAUACAGUUUUCAUUUACAACGUUGUAUAAAUUAAAAUCCUACUGUUGGGUUCUAAUUCUCUAUCUUAAAUCUUUGUCUCCAUCUUGGCAACCAAAAGUCUGUAAAUAUUGUUCCCUUGAAAAAUUAGUUCUGGACCUUUGAACGUUAUUGCAUUCUAAUAAAGCUAUUGUACUGUA